GUGGAGAAGGACGCCGAAGGUGGGGCUGAUGACUGGGGUGAAGUCGUAACAAGGUAGCCGUACCGGAAGGUGCGGCUGGAUCACCUCCUAACAGGGAGACAAAAAAUCGAUUGUGAUGUCUAAGUAAUUUAUUCUUAGGCCGCAAUCCUGUCACCUUAAGGUCGAUCGGUACCUCAGAUUUUGAAUUGAUUUUAUAAAUUAAUUCUUUGAUUUCAGUUCCUAAACUUGUCUAGGUCACACCCAACAAAGGUUUCUCCUGGGCCAUUAGCUCAGGUGGUUAGAGCGCACCCCUGAUAAGGGUGAGGUCCCUGGUUCAAGUCCAGGAUGGCCCAUUCGUUGUUGGGGGUAUAGCUCAGUUGGUAGAGCGCCUGCUUUGCAAGCAGGAUGUCAGCGGUUCGAGUCCGCUUACCUCCACUGAAAACUAUCCUGAAUAACUAAUUUCUGGAGAAAAUUUGAAGAUGUGGCUUAGUACUGUCUAUUUGAAAAGAACCUAGCUUCUUAUCAUCUUCUGAAUAGUUGAUAAUAUGCUGGGCUCUUAUGGAUUUAUUCCAUUUGAAUUCAGUAGAACCUUGAAAACUGCAUAGAUUAGAAAGAAUAAAGCAUCUCAUGGAUGCAUAAUUCUGGUUUGAUGUUUUAGCUUCAAAACUAAAUUAUCAACUCUCAGAAUUCAUGUUUAAUUCUUGAGUAAUAGCCGAGCACAAUUGAUUUUGUGUUUGUAUUUAAGGUCAAGCUACAAAGGGCUCA
rnacentral:misc_RNA from 1 species